UUGACUUCGGAACAGGUAG
rnacentral:rRNA from 1 species